rnacentral:lncRNA from 1 species
GGAGCUUCCAGUUUGACGUCUGUCUGAUGAUGUGCACCAUCCUGCUUGCUAAGGGUGUCAUCAGGACCUCUCUAUUUUGAAAGUGGGGAAACUGAGUCCCAAGCUCGGGGUUGUCAAUAGUCAGGAAGCUCAGAUCCACAGAGAGAAGCUGGCUUCUGCCAGAGUUCCAUAUUCCUCUAGGUUUCUCCAUCGGCCACAUGCAGGAAUGCACUAGGAGGCCCGUCUGUGUCCCUCAUUGACCCUGAAGCUACCUCCUUGUUCCUUGUGGUACCCAACAGGGCACAAGGAUAACUUCCCCAGGGGAGGUUACAGAUGUGUGUCUCUCAGCUAAGGGCAGAGCCCAGGACAACAGACAGACAAACAGAUGGACGGACGGGAGGCUCCCACUUCUUGUCACAGUCAAGUGCAUCGUCUCUGUCUGAGCCUACCAUCUCCAGUAUUUGGUAGCUACUCUUCAGCUGACAGAAAUUCAAUUCUGGCCUCUUUCCAGGUACGUUCAGGGUCUCUGGGGUUGA